GUCAGGAAGAGCAUCCGCCGUAAAACUUGUGCCAAUCUAACAUGCAGCUCUACCGUGGAUCUGCUGUGGCGACCCUGAAUGAAAACGGGAGCAGCCGAAGGGACGUAGUUUUAGGUCCAAAGUGAUCAACAUUAUUUUUUCUAGCUCAAUACAAGUCUAUUAAUGGUGCACAUCUUUCUGUAUGUCAGGAUUUAGUACAGUUUGAUUCAUGGGAUCACGAUUAGUUUCAAAAUUGAUUUUCGAUUCAUAAAUCUAUUUUUGAUUGCAAAAUUAAUUCAGUGCAUACAGCUACUAAUUUCAGGAACGACUCAAGUUUGCUGCAGUAUGCUAAGAAAGCUGGUGUGACAAAUGAUGCCAUGAGCGCAAAGUGUGUCUAAGAUUAUGUAUUUUUAUACAUUUGAAAAAGGCAACAUAAACAAAAGUAACACUGUAGGGGUGCAGCUCUUAUGAAAUGAAACAGGUGUUGGAUCUAGUUAAUACUUUUGGCACAUUCAGAAUUGGCUGGAAAUUUCUUAAAAUGAAGUUGAAUAAAAUAAUUUGUGAUUUGUCAGGUUUUUUUUAUUAUUAUAAGAUUUUAAAGUUAAAUAUGAUGCAAACUUCAUAUUUCAUUAUUUUCUUAUAUUUCAUGUCAUUUGAUAUAGUUUAGUCAUAAAUAAUGUUUUAAAAUGUUAAAAAUACAUUAACAUUUGGUGGAUGUAAGGUUGACAUUAGGGAUACAACUUUUUUGCAAUUAUAUUGUGAUGAGCUUUUGCUAGAAAACAAUGACAAUCAGUUUGUUUGUUUUUUUUUGUAUUUGAUCAAAACUAACUUUGAAAUUUUCAUACUUUGUUGUAUUUGGGUGGAUUUCUACAAAAUCCACUUCUAAUCACCACUUAAGUCUUACAAAUGCUAAGAAUUUAUUGAAAGCCAAGAGUGCUGUGAAACAUUGAUCAUAUUUAGAGAACUCCAAAGUGAGUUCAGAUCAUUUUAUUUAUGCAUAAAAGCUUAUCUAAAUAUGAUACAAGAAAUUGUUUUUGAGGAAAAAAAUUAAAAACUUGUAUCCCUAACGGACACAGGUGA